rnacentral:rRNA from 1 species
UACGUAGGGACCAAGCGUUGUUCGGAUUUACUGGGCGUAAAGGGCGCGUAGGCGGCGUGACAAGUCAGUUGUGAAAUCUCCGAGCUUAACUCGGAACGGUCAACUGAUACUGUUGUGCUAGAGUACAGAAGGGGCAAUCGGAAUUCUUGGUGUAGCGGUGAAAUGCGUAGAUAUCAAGAGGAACACCUGAGGCGAAGGCGGGUUGCUAGGCUGACACUGACGCUGACAGCGCGAAAGCCAGGGAGCAAAGCGGG